rnacentral:rRNA from 1 species
AUACGUAGGGUGCAAGCGUUAAUCGGAAUUACUGGGCGUAAAGCGUGCGCAGGCGGUUCGGAAAGAAGGAUGUGAAAUCCCAGGGCUCAACCUUGGAACUGCAUUCUUAACUACCGAACUAGAGUAUGUCAGAGGGGGGUAGAAUUCCGCGUGUAGCAGUGAAAUGCGUAGAUAUGCGGAGGAAUACCGAUGGCGAAGGCAGCCCCCUGGGAUAAUACUGACGCUCAUGCACGAAAGCGUGGGUAGCAAACAGGAUUAGAUACCCUGGUAGUCCACGCCCUAAACGAUGUCAACUAGCUGUUGGGCCCUUCGGGGCUUAGUAGCGUAGCUAACGCGUGAAGUUGACCGCCUGGGGAGUACGGUCGCAAGAUUAAAACUCAAAUGAAUUGGCGGGG